AUACGGAAGGUCCGGGCGUUAUCCGGAUUUAUUGGGUUUAAAGGGAGCGCAGGCGGAGAUGCAAGCGUGACGUCAAAUUUCGGGGCUCAACCCCGUCUCGCGUCGCGAACUGCGUCCCUUGGUUGCGGGAAGGGGAGGCGGAACUCGUGGUGUAGCGGUGAAAUGCAUAGAUAUCACGAAGAACUCCGAGCGCGAAGGCCGCCUUCCGGCCCGUCAACGACGCUCAUGCUCGAAGGUGCGGGUACCAAACAGGAUUAGAUACCCUGGUAGUCCGCACAGUAAACGAUGGGCCCCCGCGGUUGGGCCUGUAUGGAUGAGCCGCCAAGCGAAAGCGUUAAGUGUCCCACCUGGGGAGUACGCCGGCAACGGUGAAACUCAAAGGAAUUGACGGGG
rnacentral:rRNA from 1 species